rnacentral:rRNA from 1 species
GUGGGGAAUUUUGGACAAUGGGCGCAAGCCUGAUCCAGCAAUGCCGCGUGCAGGAAGAAGGCCUUCGGGUUGUAAACUGCUUUUGUACGGAACGAAACGGUCCUGGUUAAUACCUGGGGCUAAUGACGGUACCGUAAGAAUAAGCACCGGCUAACUACGUGCCAGCAGCCGCGGUAAUACGUAGGGUGCGAGCGUUAAUCGGAAUUACUGGGCGUAAAGCGUGCGCAGGCGUUGCUGUAAGACAGGCUUGAAAUCCCCGGGCUCAACCUGGGAAUUGCGCUUGUGACUGCAGUGCUGGAGUACGGCAGAGGGGGAUGGAAUUCCGCGUGUAGCAGUGAAAUGCGUAGAUAUGCGGAGGAACACCGAUGGCGAAGGCAGUCCCCUGGGCCUGUACUGACGCUCAUGCACGAAAGCGUGGGGAGCAAACAGGAUUAGAUACCCUAGUAGUCC